AGUGAACGCUGGCGGCGUGCUUAACACAUGCAAGUCGAACGAGAACGGAUUAUAGCUUGCUAUAAUUGUCAGCUAAGUGGCGCACGGGUGAGUAAUGUAUAGGUAAUAUGCCUCUUACUAAGGGAUAACAAUUGGAAACGAUUGCUAAUACCUUAUAUUCCUUUUUAUCAAAAGAUAAAAAGGGAAAGAUUUAUUGGUAAGAGAUUAGCCUGUAUUGUAUCAGUUAGUUGGUGGGGUAAUGGCCUACCAAGACAAUGACGCAUAACUGGUUUGAGAGGAUGAGCAGUCACACGGGAACUGAUACACGGGCCAGACACCUACGGGAGGCAGCAGUGGGGAAUAUUGCACAAUGGACGAAAGUCUGAUGCAGCAACGCCGCGUGGAGGAUGACACAUUUCGGUGCGUAAACUCCUUUUAUAUAAGAAGAUAAUGACGGUAUUAUAUGAAUAAGCACCGGCUAACUCCGUGACAGCCGCCGCCGUAA
rnacentral:rRNA from 1 species